CUAAUAUGUUGUUGUCUUCGUGAUUACUUAUUAUAUUCAUGGUUUGACUUGGCAGAGCUACAAGAUGUUCUUCCUUCUAUCAUCAACCAAUUGGGUAUGCUACUCUUUGACUUACUGAGGCCAUCCAAUAAAUUGUUUAGUUUAAUAAUCUUUUAAGGUGAUUUAUAAGCCUGUGUUGGCACUUGGGCUUCAAGUAUUUGACUUCCAUUUUAUUAUUUGUCCAGUGAGUAUGCUACUCUGUGUGACUUGGUGAGACGAGCCAAUAAAUAGUUUAGGUUAAUAAUCUUAAAGUUGAUCUAUAAUUGUGUACUCGCAAUUGGG
rnacentral:lncRNA from 1 species